GACGAGGUGGCUACCCGGAGGUAGUAAAAAGGCAGAGACUGCUGGCAGGAGCUGCUAUGGCACCGUGAGCUGCAGCUGAUCUCCGGGAACUCUGCUGCCUGGUCCAGCCAGUUGUACAAUCGCUUCAAGACUGCAGCAUGGCAAUCACAUGAACCGUCGCAGCGGAUCAAGUUUAAGACUCUUCUGCUACAUGAGCAAAGGACCCCCUCUUUGAUGGACCCAGA
rnacentral:lncRNA from 1 species